GAAAUACCACCCUUUAAUGUUUGAUGUUCUAACGUUGACCCGUAAUCCGGGUUGCGGACAGUGUCUGGUGGGUAGUUUGACUGGGGCGGUCUCCUCCUAAAGAGUAACGGAGGAGCACGAAGGUUGGCUAAUCCUGGUCGGACAUCAGGAGGUUAGUGCAAUGGCAUAAGCCAGCUUGACUGCGAGCGUGACGGCGCGAGCAGGUGCGAAAGCAGGUCAUAGUGAUCCGGUGGUUCUGAAUGGAAGGGCCAUCGCUCAACGGAUAAAAGGUACUCCGGGGAUAACAGGCUGAUACCGCCCAAGAGUUCAUAUCGACGGCGGUGUUUGGCACCUCGAUGUCGGCUCAUCACAUCCUGGGGCUGAAGUAGGUCCCAAGGGUAUGGCUGUUCGCCAUUUAAAGUGGUACGCGAGCUGGGUUUAGAACGUCGUGAGACAGUUCGGUCCCUAUCUGCCGUGGGCGCUGGAGAACUGAGGGGGGCUGCUCCUAGUACGAGAGGACCGGAGUGGACGCAUCACUGGUGUUCGGGUUGUCAUGCCAAUGGCACUGCCCGGUAGCUAAAUGCGGAAGAGAUAAGUGCUGAAAGCAUCUAAGCACGAAACUUGCC
rnacentral:rRNA from 1 species